rnacentral:rRNA from 1 species
UGGGGAAUUUUGGACAAUGGGGGCAACCCUGAUCCAGCAAUGCCGCGUGAGUGAAGAAGGCCUUCGGGUUGUAAAGCUCUUUUGUCAGGGAAGAAAAGGGUACGGCUAAUAUCCGUGCCUCAUGACGGUACCUGAAGAAUAAGCACCGGCUAACUACGUGCCAGCAGCCGCGGUAAUACGUAGGGUGCAAGCGUUAAUCGGAAUUACUGGGCGUAAAGCGUGCGCAGGCGGUUUUGUAAGUCUGUCGUGAAAUCCCCGGGCUUAACCUGGGAAUGGCGAUGGAGACUGCAAGGCUAGAGUUUGGCAGAGGGGGGUAGAAUUCCACGUGUAGCAGUGAAAUGCGUAGAGAUGUGGAGGAACACCGAUGGCGAAGGCAGCCCCCUGGGUCAAGACUGACGCUCAUGCACGAAAGCGUGGGGAGCAAACAG